AGUUGGCUUCAGAUGCUUCAGGAUGUUUUGGUCUUAAAUGUAUUCUGUGGGAUUAAGGAACUCCGAAAGCCCUGAUGUGAGCCUGAGAAUCUUGUGUAUCUUCCUCUGGUCCUACUCUUCCUGGUAAAUGGUUGAAGACAGAAGACUUAUUAUAGAUUUUACAUCCAGCCCAUGAGGAUUUUGACUGAUUCCACUGAGCAGGCUCAGCUGAAAUCCUGCCACAUCCUAGGACCACAUCAUAAGUUGCUGGAGGUAAUAUGAUUACUCUGAGCAAAUACAACACAAACUAGCAAGUGAUUGCAGUGUCCUGUGGAUAAGAAUCAGAAAAAAAAAAAACAGAAGAAUCGAGCUGGCAAAUUGCGUGAGAGAAGGCAGCUUUCCUUGGAGCAGGAAACCGUGUGUGGCAUGUGCACCCUGAGCAUUUCUCGCAUCCCAACUUUUGAUAG